AGGAAACAGCCUGGGUCUCUGCCAUCCUUGGGGGAAAGAAAUACAUCCACUUGCCAAGCUCCUGGUGACAUCUUGUGGCAGCUGCGAAGGUGGGAGGAGCAGGUGACCUGCUCCCUCGCCUCCAAAAAUGCUGAGCUUUCAAGGAAAAAAAGAAAAGACAAGAAACCUCCAGGUACCAAGUCUAGAGCCAGAACUUCAUCUUCCUCCAGGACGCAAGAAGCAAUGGACAGCCAGCUCAGUCAUCUUGUCACUGUGGGUGCCUCACGCAUCUAUUCCAGCUGAAGUCGCCACUUCUCCUGCGCCCAGACAGCAGCCACGCCAGCGCGGCCUGAACGGGGGCUGGCCUUAAUUUUGCCAGGAACUCUGGCCUUGCAAAAUAUCCCAUAAAACGGGAUGAUUCUUUUCAUGUAAUUCAGGUCCCGCAAAU